CAGUUCAGAUUGCAGGCUGCAACUCGCCUGCAUGAAGUCGGAAUUGCUAGUAAUCGUAGGUCAGCAUACUACGGUGAAUACGUUCCCGGGCCUUGUACACACCGCCCGUCAAACCAUGAGAGUUGGCAACACCCGAAGUCGGUAGUCUAACCGCAAGGAGGACGCCGCCGAAGGUGGGGUCGAUGAUUAGGGUUAAGUCGUAACAAGGUAUC
rnacentral:rRNA from 1 species